UAGGGAAUCUUCGGCAAUGGGGGCAACCCUGACCGAGCAACGCCGCGUGAGUGAAGAAGGUUUUCGGAUCGUAAAGCUCUGUUGUAAGAGAAGAACGUGUGUGAGAGUGGAAAGUUCACACAGUGACGGUAACUUACCAGAAAGGGACGGCUAACUACGUGCCAGCAGCCGCGGUAAUACGUAGGUCCCGAGCGUUGUCCGGAUUUAUUGGGCGUAAAGCGAGCGCAGGCGGUUUAAUAAGUCUGAAGUUAAAGGCAGUGGCUUAACCAUUGUUCGCUUUGGAAACUGUUAAACUUGAGUGCAGAAGGGGAGAGUGGAAUUCCAUGUGUAGCGGUGAAAUGCGUAGAUAUAUGGAGGAACACCGGUGGCGAAAGCGGCUCUCUGGUCUGUAACUAACGAUGAGGCUCGAAAGCGUGGGGAGCAAACAGG
rnacentral:rRNA from 1 species